GCGGACGUGAGUGAACAGUUUUUUACAAGACGCACGUGUUUUCAACGAUUUAUAUUUAUUUAUGCUGGCGAGACUUAAUUUCCGACGAAGUGGCGCGCCAAUGGUCCUGGUUUGGGACAGAGUCCAAAAUGUCCAUUCGAGAGAUGCUUAUUACGUCAUCCGUCAAAGCUGCUUUAUGAACAAAUUUGCGUUGGAGGGCGCAGAUUUCGA